rnacentral:rRNA from 1 species
CAGUCGCCGCGGUAAUACGGAGGGUGCAAGCGUUAUCCGGAUUUAUUGGGUUUAAAGGGUCCGUAGGCGGAUCUGUAAGUCAGUGGUGAAAUCUCACAGCUUAACUGUUAAACUGCCAUUGAUACUGCAGGUCUUGAGUAAAUUUGAAGUGGCUGGAAUAAGUAGUGUAGCGGUGAAAUGCAUAGAUAUUACUUAGAACACCAAUUGCGAAGGCAGGUCACUAAGAUUUAACUGACGCUGAUGGACGAAAGCGUGGGGAGCGAACAGGAUUAGAUACCCCAGUAGUCCCUGUCUCUUAUAC